rnacentral:tRNA from 1 species
GGCGCGUUCGUCUAGGGGUUAGGACGUCGGCCUCUCAAGCCGGAAACACGGGUUCGAUUCCCGUACGCGCUACCA